rnacentral:rRNA from 1 species
AAUGAACGCUGGCGGCAGGCCUAACACAUGCAAGUCGAACGGAUCCUUCGGGAUUAGUGGCGGACGGGUGAGUAACGCGUGGGAACAUACCCUUUGGUACGGAAUAGCCUCGGGAAACUGGGAGUAAUACCGUAUGUGGUGGAGAGACGAAAGAUUUAUCGCCAAAGGAUUGGCCCGCGUUGGAUUAGGAAGUUGGUGGGGUAAUGGCCUACCAAGCCGACGAUCCAUAGCUGGUUUGAGAGGAUGAUCAGCCACACUGGGACUGAGACACGGCCCAGACUCCUACGGGAGGCAGCAGUGGGGAAUCUUAGACAAUGGGGGAAACCCUGAUCUAGCCAUGCCGCGUGAUCGAUGAAGGCCUUAGGGUUGUAAAGAUCUUUCAGGUGGGAAGAUAAUGACUGUACCACCAGAAGAAGCCCCGGCUAACUCCGUGCCAGCAGCCGCGGUAAAAC